GGUCUUCCGUAGGGUAACUGCGGAGGGAUCAUUACCGAGUUUACAACUCCCAAACCCCAAUGUGAACGUUACCAAUCUGUUGCCUCGGCGGGAUUCUCUGCCCCGGGCGCGUCGCAGCCCCGGAUCCCAUGGCGCCCGCCGGAGGACCAACUCAAACUCUUUUUUCUCUCCGUCGCGGCUUCCGUCGCGGCUCUGUUUUACCUUUGCUCUGAGCCUUUCUCGGCGACCCUAGCGGGCGUCUCGAAAAUGAAUCAAAACUUUCAACAACGGAUCUCUUGGUUCUGGCAUCGAUGAAGAACGCAGCGAAAUGCGAUAAGUAAUGUGAAUUGCAGAAUUCAGUGAAUCAUCGAAUCUUUGAACGCACAUUGCGCCCGCCAGUAUUCUGGCGGGCAUGCCUGUCCGAGCGUCAUUUCAACCCUCGAACCCCUCCGGGGGGUCGGCGUUGGGGAUCGGCCCCUCACCGGGCCGCCCCCGAAAUACAGUGGCGGUCUCGCCGCAGCCUCUCCUGCGCAGUAGUUUGCACACUCGCACCGGGAGCGCGGCGCGGCCACAGCCGUAAAACACCCCAAACUCUGAAAUGUUGACCUCGGAUCAGGUAGGAAUACCCGCUGAACUUAAGCAUAUCAAUAAGCGGAGGA
rnacentral:rRNA from 1 species